UACGUAGGGUGCAAGCGUUGUCCGGAAUUAUUGGGCGUAAAGAGCUCGUAGGCGGUUUGUUGCGUCGGCUGUGAAAUCCCGAGGCUCAACCUCGGGUCUGCAGUCGAUACGAGCAAACUAGAGUGUUGCAGGGGAGACUGGAAUUCCUGGUGUAGCGGUGAAAUGCGCAGAUAUCAGGAGGAACACCGGUGGCGAAGGCGGCGUGCUGGACGGCAUCUGACACUGAGAAACGAAAGCCAGGGGAGCAAACGGG
rnacentral:rRNA from 1 species